GGCAGCUCCAGGUCUCACAGUUUCAGGCCAUUGCUUGCUCUUCUGUCCCACGUGCUGAAGCCUCUGGAAUCCUGUGAUUGGGUGGAAGCAUGGAAACAGCUAUGGAAGGGAGUCUGGAGCAUCUUGGGCAGCAAACAGAGCAGCAGAGCUGCAGAAGGCAGGCUGUAUGUACAGAGAGAAGCACUGGAGAAGCUCAAAAAGGUCUCCCUCUUGGGUUGCUAGCUCUGGGAGAAGCUAACUGUCAUGUGUAAGGCCACUCAAGCAGCCUGUGAAGAAGCCCACAUGGAGAUGAGCUAAUUUUGUCCACUGCACCAUCACUGACCUGCUUGUCCUGUGAGUGCACCAUCUUGGAAGCAGAUCCUCCAGUUCCAGGCAAGCUUUGGGACAACUGCAGCUUCAGCUAACAUCUUGACUGCAGCCUCACAACGAACCCCAAGCUAGAAGUUCCCAGCCAAGCCGCUUGCAAAUUUGGAUCCACAGAAUCUAUGAAGUAAUAAAUGUUUAUUGUUUUAAGCCAC
rnacentral:lncRNA from 1 species